UUUUCGAAGAGUUUGAUCCUGGCUCAGAGUGAACGCUAGCGGUGCGCCUAACACAUGCAAGUCGCGCGAGGCUUCGAGCCGAGCGGCG
rnacentral:rRNA from 1 species